GACGAACGCUGGCGGCGUGCUUAACACAUGCAAGUCGAACGGAGUGGCGAACGGGGGAGUAACACGUGGGUGACCUGCGCUGCACUUCGGGGUAAGACUGGGGAAAUGGGUCGAAUACCGGGUAGUGUGGGAUGGGGCCGGGGCCUAUCAGCUUGUUGGUGGGGUAAUGGCCUACCAAGGCGGCGCCGGGUAGCCGGCCUGAGAGGGUGGACGGCCCCAUUGGGACUGGGACACGGCCCAGACGCCUACGGGAGGCAGCAGCGGGGAAUAUUGCACACUGGGCGGAAGCCUGAUGGAGCGACGCCGCGUGGGGGAGGACGGCCUUCGGGUUGUAAACUCCUUUCACCAGCGACGCGGUAGAUGGAGAAGAAGCACCGGCUAACUCCGUGCCAGCAGCCGCGGUAAUUC
rnacentral:rRNA from 1 species